CCGUGCUAGGUGGGGAGGUAGCGGUUCCCUGUACUCGAAAUCCGCUUUAUGCGAGGCUUAAUUCCUUUGUUGAGGCCGUAUUUUUGCGAAGUCUGCCCAAAGCACGUAGUGUUUGAAGAUUUCGGUCCUA
rnacentral:SRP_RNA from 1 species